GGGCCGUCACACCAAUGGGCUGA
rnacentral:siRNA from 1 species